AGGACAGCUGCUCGACCGGUGCUACUUCAGGUGCCUUCUUCUCUUGGCUCAUGCUCUUCCUCUUCUUCUUUUCGUGCUUUUCAUACGUUGCCUUUAUAAGGUCCAAACCACCAAGAUUGCAUCAUCAGAUUAGGUACACUUGGCCGGGAAUUUAGCAGGUCUAUUGAUUGAGAUUAAUCAUAUUCCCGGGAUGUGUUGACAUUUCCGUUCUGUUACUUCUAGUCAUUGAUGUUUACUAUUAAGCUGUUCCAUUGCAGAAUCAAACAAACCAGUGUCUGAAUUGGCAAAACUGCAGGAACUACAUGAGGAGAAAAUAUCAAAGAUUAAAGAGCUUAAAAAACAAAAAGAAGAACUGAAGACUCUAUUAGAGAAGAAGCUGACAGAGGAAACAAAGCCAUUCGACAAUUUGUGUGACACAUAUAACAAUCUUAGAGAUGAGUACAAUGCACUAUUGGCACAAGGAUCAGAGGAAAAAGAGUCGUAAUAACGAUAUUUCGAGUCGAAAAUUUGUAUAUGAACUUGGCUGUGCAAUUAUGUACUAGAUUAAUAUUAUGGUUACCUAUGAAUUUCCUAGUAUUUCUAUGUAUUUCGUAUGGGAAAAUUUUACUUCUAGUCCCCAACUUUUAGUGCUCCUGCUGAUUUUAGUCCCCACCUUUCAAAAUUGGAAUUUUCACAUGCCAAUGUUAAGUUCUGUUUGCUAUCAUUUACCAAUGUUAUUGUUGUUUUUCCCAUCGGAAAUGAUGACGUGUAACUUUGACGAAAAAUUUAACAUGAAAUGACUACAAAGGACUAGGUUCACAAACAGAACAAAAUAUUGGGGAUCGAAAAGUGAAAUUUUGAUGAUUGGGAUGAGAAGUGCAGGGACACUAAAGCAUGGAGACUAAAUGUGCAAUUUCCCCCUUUGAAUUGAUGUGCCAUGAUAAGCCUAGCCAGCUAACUUAAGGCAAGUCUUUAAAACAGUAUAGACUACAUUUAUUACAUGAAAUGAUACAUAGCCUCUGCUCGAGUCCCACUCUUUAGAAAAAUAUAUUUUUAAAUAGUGAUUUAGAAAAAUAUAUUUUUAAAUAGUGAUUUGACAUUAUUUCAACUGUACAUUUUUUCAAUAAAAU
rnacentral:lncRNA from 1 species